rfam:Desulfovibrio vulgaris str. 'Miyazaki F', complete genome.
AUGCGAAACCGCCCCGCCCGCGCGGCGGGGCGGUCGCCCGGCGGUGGCGCGCCGGGCCUGACGAGCAGCCACCC